GACGAACGCUGGCGGCGUGCCUAAUACAUGCAAGUAGAACGCACAGUUUAUACCGUAGCUUGCUACACCAUAGACUGUGAGUUGCGAACGGGUGAGUAACGCGUAGCUAACCUGCCUGGUAGCGGGGGAUAACUAUUGGAAACGAUAGCUAAUACCGCAUAAUAUUAAUUAUUGCAUGAUAAUUAAUUGAAAGGUGCAAUUGCACCACUACCAGAUGGACCUGCGUUGUAUUAGCUAGUAGGUGAGGUAACGGCUCACCUAGGCGACGAUACAUAGCCGACCUGCGAGGGUGAGCAGCCAGACUGAGAGUGAGACACGGCCCAGACUCCUUGGGGAGGCAGCCGUAGGGAAUCUUCGGCAAUGGACGAAAGUCUGACCGAGCAACGCGGCGUGAGUGAAGAAGGUCUUCGGAUCGUAAAGCUCUGUUGUAAGGGAAGAAAGGGCGUGAGAGUGUAAAGUUCACACUGUGACGGUAUCUGACCAGAAAGGGACGGCUAACUACGUG
rnacentral:rRNA from 1 species